rnacentral:rRNA from 1 species
GCAAUACCACCCUGAACAUGUUGAGUCACCUACAAUCCUGGAUGCUAAGCAGGGUUGGGUUACAUUGGUACUUGGAUGGGAGACAAGUACACAUUAAAAUAAGCA